GGGUUCGGCCCUCGGCAGACUGCUCAGUAACACGUGGAUAACCUAACCUUAGGUGGAAGAUAACCUCGGGAAACUGAGAACAAUAUUCCAUAGAUCUAGAAUGCUGGAAUGCAUCUAGAUUAAAAGUUCCGACGCCUAAGGAUGGGUCUGCGGACUAUCAGGUUGUAGUCAGGGUAAAGACCUGACUAGCCUACGACGGAUAUGGGUUGUGAGAGCAAUAGCCCAGAGACGAUAUCUGAGACACGAUAUCGGGCCCUACGGGGCGCAGCAGGCGCGAAAUCUUCACAAUGUGCGAAAGCACGAUGAGGGGAUCCCAAGUGCUGGCACGUAAGUGUCAGCUGUUUUUUAGUCUAAAAAACUGASAGAGUAAGAGCUGGGUAAGACGGGUGCUCAGCCGCCGCGGUAAUACCUGCAGCUCGAGUGGUGGCCGCUAUUUAUUUG
rnacentral:rRNA from 1 species